rnacentral:rRNA from 1 species
UAGCAUAUCAAUAAGCGGAGGAAAAGAAACUAACAAGGAUUCCCCUAGUAACUGCGAGUGAAGCGGGAAAAGCUCAAAUUUAAAAUCUGGCAGCCUUUGGUUGUCCGAGUUGUAAUCUAGAGAAGUGUUAUCCGCGCUGGACCGUGUACAAGUCUCCUGGAAUGGAGCGUCAUAGAGGGUGAGAAUCCCGUCUUUGACACGGACUGCCAGGGCUUUGUGAUGCGCUCUCAAAGAGUCGAGUUGUUUGGGAAUGCAGCUCAAAAUGGGUGGUAAAUUCCAUCUAAAGCUAAAUAUUGGCGAGAGACCGAUAGCGAACAAGUACCGUGAGGGAAAGAUGAAAAGAACUUUGGAAAGAGAGUUAAACAGUACGUGAAAUUGCUGAAAGGGAAACGCUUGAAGUCAGUCGCGUUGUCCAGGGAUCAACCUUGCUUUUGCUUGGUGCACUUUCUGGUCGACGGGUCAGCAUCAAUUUUGACUAUUGGAAAAAGAUUAGGGGAAUGUGGCAUCUUUGGAUGUGUUAUAGCCCUUGGUUGCAUACAAUGGUUGGGAUUGAGGAACUCAGCACGCCGCAAGGCCGGGUUUUUAACCACGUACGUGCUUAGGAUGCUGGCAUAAUGGCUUUAAUCGACCCGUCUUGAAACACGGACCAAGGAGUCUAACAUGCCUGCGAGUGUUUGGGUGGAAAACCCGAGCGCGUAAUGAAAGUGAAAGUUGAGAUCCCUGUCGUGGGGAGCAUCGACGCCCGGACCAGACCUUUUGUGACGGUUCCGCGGUAGAGCAUGUAUGUUGGGACCCGAAAGAUGGUGAACUAUGCCUGAAUAGGGUGAAGCCAGAGGAAACUCUGGUGGAGGCUCGUAGCGAUUCUGACGUGCAAAUCGAUCGUCAAAUUUGGGUAUAGGGGCGAAAGACUAAUCGAACC